AGAGUUUGAUCCUGGCUCAGGAUAAACGCUGGCGGCGCACAUAAGACAUGCAAGUCGAACGGAAGUCGUUAUAAAAAGGAUUGAAGAUUUAUCUGAUUGAGAUUUUAUAACAAUGGCUUUAGUGGCGGACUGGUGAGUAACGCGUGAGCAACCUGCCUACUAGAGGGGAAUAACAGUGAGAAAUCAUUGCUAAUACCGCAUAUGCCAUGAACAUCACAUGAUGAAAGUGGGAAAAGAGUAAUCUGCUAGUAGAUGGGCUCGCGUCUGAUUAGAUAGUUGGUGGGGUAACGGCCUACCAAGUCGACGAUCAGUAGCCGGACUGAGAGGUUGAACGGCCACAUUGGGACUGAGAUACGGCCCAGACUCCUACGGGAGGCAGCAGUCGGGAAUAUUGCGCAAUGGAGGAAACUCUGACGCAGUGACGCCGCGUAUAGGAAGAAGGUUUUCGGAUUGUAAACUGCUUUAGACAGGGAAGAAACAAGACAGUACCUGUAGAAUAAGCUCCGGCUAACUACGUGCCAGCAGCCGCGGUAAUACGUAGGGAGCAAGCGUUAUCCGGAUUUAUUGGGUGUAAAGGGUGCGUAGACGGGAAAGCAAGUUAGUUGUGAAAUCCCUCGGCUUAACUGAGGAACUGCAACUAAAACUGUUUUUCUUGAGUGUUGGAGAGGAAAGUGGAAUUCCUAGUGUAGCGGUGAAAUGCGUAGAUAUUAGGAGGAACACCGGUGGCGAAGGCGACUUUCUGGACAAUAACUGACGUUGAGGCACGAAAGUGUGGGGAGCAAACAGGAUUAGAUACCCUGGUAGUCCACACCGUAAACGAUGAUUACUAGGUGUUGGAGGAUUGACCCCUUCAGUGCCGCAGUUAACACAAUAAGUAAUCCACCUGGGGAGUACGACCGCAAGGUUGAAACUCAAAGGAAUUGACGGGGGCCCGCACAAGCAGUGGAGUAUGUGGUUUAAUUCGACGCAACGCGAAGAACCUUACCAAGUCUUGACAU
rnacentral:rRNA from 1 species